rnacentral:pre_miRNA from 1 species
CGUCGAUGACAGCGGUGGUUCGGACAUCUUCGGCUUUGUACCUGCUUGGCUUGAUGGCAUCAUCGUUCUUAUCGAUG